GGGUGUCCCAGCCAUGAAAAGCGUCGGCACUUUUAGUGCCCUUUCUCCAAAUUUCAAAUUCAAAAUUGUUUUUUUAAAUGAAAGUGAAUUGAGUUCCCUUCCCCAUGCUCAGUAUAAGUAGAACACAGAUGCACCUCCCCCAGCAAGCAAGUGAACCUGCAGUGAAAAAAAACACUACCAAAAGGAGAGCACAGAAGCUCUGCUUAGCUGCACUGCUGAGACUGAUCGACGACGAUGGGGCAGUACUGCUCCUCCUCCCGGCAGGUCGCCGGCCAUGGCGCCGCGGUGGCCGGCGACGACGGCUUUAAGAGCUGCAGGCAGAAGCAGCAGCAGCAGCAGCAGCCGCCGGAGACGGGGAAGAGGGCGGCGCCGCCGCGGAGGAAGGCGAUGAAGCAUGCCUACGACGCUUCCGGCCAGCAAGACCUGGUCCUCGUGGUGUCGCUGGACUCCAUCACCAAGAUCGGCUAGGCUAGCAGCAGCAGCUGCUGCCAGAUUCUGACAUGAUCAAGAAGCUCUCUCUCUCUGUCUCGACUGGCUCUGACGGUGAUCGGUGAACAUGCCUUGUUGUCUACUUAAUUAAGAAGGUUUACAUAUGCACCUCCAACCCUCGUGUACUACUAAGUUAUUAUUGUGUUACAGUAAUUGUAGCCUCGAAUUCGUGAGUUAAAAAUUAGUCCGUAGAUCUUUGUAUCAUGAAUAAUUCGAUAAGGUCCUUGUAUCCAUCAUCUAUAAUAUUAUGUAUUAAUUAAUGGAGAGGUGUGUUUACUAUUAUGUUCUUG